rnacentral:rRNA from 1 species
AUCUCUGUAGAGUCUGCAUAUCAAUAAGCGGAGGAAAAGAAACUAACUAGGAUUCCCUUAGUAACGGCGAGUGAAGCGGGAAGAGCUCAAAUUUGAAAUCUUCAAGGUUUUACCUUGACGAAUUGUAGUUUAAAGAAGUGUUUUCUGUUGAGUGUUUCGGUAAAAGUUCUUUGGAAUAGGACAUCAUAGAGGGUGAGAAUCCCGUAUUUGACCAUUACUUUCCAGCUGUGUGAUACACUUUCAAAGAGUCGGAUUGUUUGGGAAUGCAGUCCAAAAUGGGUGGUAAAUUUCAUCUAAAGCUAAAUAUUGGCGAGAGACCGAUAGCGAACAAGUACCGUGAGGGAAAGAUGAAAAGAACUUUGAAAAGAGAGUUAAACAGUACGUGAAAUUGUCAAAAGGGAAGCGUUUGACACCAGUGUUGUUUUCUCGAAAAUCAAUUAAAAAUGGCUUGAUUUUGUGUUGUAUUGACCUUAAAAGCUUUCUUCACUUUUUUCAUGUCUUUUUUAAUGCACUUUUCGUUUAACAAGUCAACAUCAGUUUCUUUUGUUGUAAAAAGGUCAUUGGAAGGUGGCUUUCUUUUCGGAGAAAGUGUUUAUAGCCUUUGACUUCUGCAAUCGGAGAGACUGAGGUCUGCAGCGUAGAUCCUUCUGGAUUAGAUUCAUUUGUGCUAAGUUACAACCGUUUAUAGACAACUUGUUGACUAUAUUCGAUCCUGUAGCUUACUCGCUUAUGUAAUUUUACCUACGCUUAGGAUGUUGAUAUGCAUGACUGAUAU